rnacentral:rRNA from 1 species
GAUGAACGCUGACAGAAUGCUUAACACAUGCAAGUCAACUUUGGCGUACGGGUGAGUAACGCGUAAAGACCUUGCCUCACGGAUAGGCACCACAUUUUGAAACGAAUGCUAAUACCUGCUCCUGUGAUAGAGCUUUGCGUCCCAUUAGCUAGUUGGCGAGGUAACGGCUCACCAAGGCGACGAUGGGUAGCCGGCCUGAGAGGAUGAUCGGCCACACGGGGACUGAGCCACAGCACGGACUCAUAGGGGAGGCAGGAGGAGGGAAGACUGGACAAAGGACCAAAGGCUGAUCCAGCAAUUGCGUGGGCAAGAGGAAGGUUGCGGAAGGUAAAGAGCUUUCAGUUGGGAAGCGGUACCAAAAGAAGAAGAGACGGCUAAAUACGUGCAAGCAGCCGCGGUAAUU